rnacentral:tRNA from 1 species
GGGUGGCUAGCUCAGUGGUAGAGCGCCUCGUUUACACCGAGGAUGUCGGGGGUUCGAAACCCUCGCCGCCCAC